GCCACUUCCUUUGCAAGACCAAGUUAAUAUAUAAUACGAUGAGUUUCGUAUAUAUGUCUUUCCCCUGCUUGGCUUGGAUUGUCCCUGUGCCGGAAAGGCAAGAAUAAAUAGUGUGCUUUGCUUUGCUAUAUAUCAGUUGUUGUAAAAUAAAACGAAUGAUCGAGAGGCCAAACACUAUGUGUCAUCUCUCUCUGCAUCUUAAUUAUGAAUAAUUAAGGUGC
rnacentral:misc_RNA from 1 species